rnacentral:rRNA from 1 species
GAAUCCGGAAGGGGAAAGCGGAAUUCCUGGUGUAACGGUGAAAUGCGUAGAUGUCAGGAGGAACACCAGUGGCGAAGNCGGCUUUCUGGUCCGGAAUUGACGCUGAGGUACUAAAGCGUGGGUAGCAAACAGGAUUAGAUACCCUGGUAGUCCACGCCCUAAACGAUGGAUACUUGAUGUCGGGAUGUUCGGUCGUCUCGGUGUCGUAGCUAACGUGUUAAGUAUCCCGCCUGGGGACUACGGUCGCAAGACUGAAACUCAAAGGAAUUGACGGGGGCCCGCACCAGCGGUGGAACAUGUGGUUUAAUUCGAUGCAACGCGAAGAACCUUACCUGGGCUUGACAUAUAUAUGAAGUAUGUAAGAAAUUAUGUAUUCUGUCUGCUUUUGCAGGUAGCAUAUAUACAGGCGAUGCAUGGCUGUCGUCAGCUCGUGUCGUGAGAUGUAGGGUUAAGUCCCUUAACGAGCGCAACCCUUGCUUUUAGUUGCCAUCAGGUAAUGCUGGGGACUCUAGAAGGACUGCCGAGGUUAACUCGGAGGAAGGUGGGGAUGACGUCAAGUCAGUAUGUCCCUUAUGUCCAGGGCUACACACGUGUUACAAUGGACGGUACAGAGUGCAGCUACGCCGUGAGGCUACGCAAAUCACUUAAAGCCGUUCCCAGUUCGGAUUGGAGUCUGCAAUUCGACUCCAUGAAGUUGGAAUCGCUAGUAAUCGCAGAACAGCAUGCUGCGGUGAAUACGUUCCCGGGCCUUGUACACACCGCCCGUCACGCCAUGGAAGUUGGGAGUACCCAAAGUUGCUGUC